CAGGUGGUGAUACCCUAAGAAUCAUUCCAGUUUGGCCUCAAGCAAGGGUUGUAAACUGCUCAUUUUGCCAGGAACAGCAAGGGCUCAAGUCCUGGGAUCACAAGAGGUCCCUGUGCUCCCCUUCCCUUCCCCCACCUGCACAGAGACAGGUGAAGAAGGGCUGGAGCCCUGCUGUUCUGCUGACUGCAUUUUGGGGGUUGAAUGACAGAUUGAAGUCUGUCUGGUACACACCAGUGCCAUCACAGGCAGGGUGAGCACAGCAGCUGUGCCUCACCAGCACACAGGGGCCAUAUGAAGGACCAAGAUCUCCACCUUUUGAGUCCAGCACAGGUAAAACAGAGGUGCACGCUCCGAGCUCUGCAUGUCCCGCUGCUUCCACCAAGGUAAACAGGAGACAGUCACAGUAAUUACCAGGAAUGAGCUGAGCCAAACAUCCCGUCCCUGCAGCUGCUUCCUGGGACACAGGAGCAGGCAGGGCAGGGAAACUUGACCUGCCAGGAUAUCACCAGUGUCUCUCUCUGUUCAAACAAGAAAUGAGGUUCAUCAGUCCUUGCUCCGGGUAAAUUCCAACUCGAGCGUGAAGCCAGCGAUUUCGCAGUUGCUGCGGCUCACCCGGGAGAUGACGUCAAGUGCAGCGCUAAAAUUUUUCGGUUUAUUAGCUAAUUCCUGCACUUUCUCUGCCUGUGACGUGGUAACAACGUGCAUUUCUUCUGUGCUUCUCAAACAAAAUCCUGCUUGGCUGGUAGAUUAAUUUAUCUGCUGCUCUAACUUUGCCUUUUCCAGACUGACCAAAUGGAAACGGUUCGAAACUCCUGAAGUCUCCUGACUGCCAUCAGAGGAGAAAAUUCCAACAAGCUGGAAAGUCUCCUCUGCAAACAAACAUCAAUGCUGCCUGUUGUACAAGCCCCUGGUUGGUUCAGUUUGCCUUUGCUGGAGUGGCCUUUAUAUCUGUGACUUCAUACAAGAUGUGUAGGUGUGGGAUUAAAACCUUUCCAAUCAGACCAUCUUCAAACACAUAAAAAAAGCUCAGCUUGUGUCAGGAGCCUCCCCUGUUUGGACAAGAUGAGCAGGAAAUUCCGACAUGUUCCUGAGACGUGAGGGGUGGAAAAGGAAUAAGAGUGUGAUGAUGUCAGCCUGUUUAUUUGGGAGAGGAUGAGCAAGGACUCCUCAGAUCUGCUUUUCCUGGGUGAUCUUCGUACCAGUUUAAGUCCUGCUCUGCCAAAGUGGAGAGCUGCGAGGUGGUAACAGCUACCAGCUGCUGGCACCAUCCAGCCUGAGCCAAGAUGAGCAAGCCUGGAAAUGAAGGAGAAUUCAGCCUGUGCCUUGAUUGCCUUGGGCAGGGGGAAGGGACAAAGAUGACUGCAAGUGCAGGGCUCCUAUCAGCCAUGGCAAGCAAACAGUAAAUAUUUUCUAAAGUGACCCGAAUUAACCUUCUUGUCAUGGCAAAACACACACGGGCAGAGCUGUCAAGGACACAGCAGCCCUGCUUUCCUGCUGACAGCCUCCAGUGAUGUCCCAGGUACCAAAGGACACUUCAAAUGGCCCCAAUCACCUGUGUUUAGGCAACAGAGUUAUACCUUCCUGACUGAGAAGGGUCCCAAAUGGGGAUUUGCACCAAGGACAGGCAAUCUUGCUGCUUGGCCAAGUUCUGAAGUUCAUUCUCAGGAAAACUCCCACUAAUCUAAGGCACGCCAGGAUUUCAUUUACUGCUGGGAAAUGUGAAACCUCCCUGGCUAAAGUAUCUUAAUUAGGCCAUUAGAGCCCGGUAUAAAAUGGCUGAGAUAAACAGGGGCAGGAGGGCACAGGAUAUUGUCAAUGCAUUGUAAAGCCUUUGCUGCUCAGCCUGGGGUUCAAACUGUCCAGAGCCACAU